rnacentral:rRNA from 1 species
AUUGAACGCUGGCGGCAGGCCUAACACAUGCAAGUCGAGCGGAUGAAGGGAGCUUGCUCCUGGAUUCAGCGGCGGACGGGUGAGUAAUGCCUAGGAAUCUGCCUGGUAGUGGGGGAUAACGUCCGGAAACGGGCGCUAAUACCGCAUACGUCCUGAGGGAGAAAGUGGGGGAUCUUCGGACCUCACGCUAUCAGAUGAGCCUAGGUCGGAUUAGCUAGUUGGUGGGGUAAAGGCCUACCAAGGCGACGAUCCGUAACUGGUCUGAGAGGAUGAUCAGUCACACUGGAACUGAGACACGGUCCAGACUCCUACGGGAGGCAGCAGUGGGGAAUAUUGGGCAAUGGGCGAAAGCCUGAUCCAGCCAUGCCGCGUGUGUGAAGAAGGUCUUCGGAUUGUAAAGAACUUUAAGUUGGGAGGAAGGGCAGUAAGUUAAUACCUUGCUGUUUUGACGUUACCAACAGAAUAAGCACCGGCUAACUUCGUG